CCCCCUGGGUCUUUUUCAAUUGUCAGGAAAUAAGGGCCCCCUGUACAGUGAUCAAAAUCAUCCAGAAUCGUAUCAAAAGUCCGCCAUAAUGAAGAAAGUGAAAAUGAAACUUUGUUAUUAGGUAACUCAUACAUCAAAUAUUCUUGAAAGUAAAAGAUUUUUAGAACGACCUAAUCAUGUAUUUCUGAAAGUGAAAGUUAAAAAUACAAGUACAAAAUAUCUUCUCCUUGUCGAUUCCCUAAUUUCAAAGUGGGAAAAUGAGUCAUAUAGCAUAAUUUGGGUGGAUUAUUGUAAUUUAAAGGAAGCUACAGGUCCAUCAAAGACAGCAUGGGGAAAUUUGGAGCAGGCAGGACGACCUGGGUUUAUAUUGAUAAAAUGAAUGAAAUUCUUCACAAAGACAGAUCAACUGAACCUUCAGCCACCAGCAGUUCAUAUAAUAAUGGACAAUUAACAACCCCUAAGAGAAAGGACACAACACAACCAGAAACAUGCACAAAGAAACAAAAGAAAGUCAACAAGCAAAUGCCGGGAUGGUUUGAAGACUAUUUGAAGGAGCAGAAGGAGGACAGGAAUAAGGAGCGGGAGGAAAUGAGGAAAUUUCGAGAGGACAUUGUUAUAUAAAAACAUGGAACAAAAAAACUCAAUUCUCAAAAACCUGACAGACAUUCUAUCAAAAUCUCUUAAAUAAUUAGAUUUAAAUCAUUUCAGCUUUAGAGCUUUGUAAACUUUGACUCUUAUUAAUUAACAUACUAGUAAUGCACUUUGAAAUGAAAUCAACAAUGACGUUACAUUCUUAAGAGCCAGUCCGCGAGAAAACCAUGCAAAAUUUAAAAAAUCGUCCAAAUGGAAGGUUGCAACUUGGGAAUUUUAAGUGGCUUAAAAUUUUCUACAUAAAGGUAGAAGUCAGAAUAUCUACAAAAAAAUGUCGAACCCUGCAUCUAUUUUUAGUAACAGCUCAUUUGCAUAUUUGUCGAAAAUCGCACAAAAUUUAAUGGAAAAUGUAUACAAAUUGAUCAAGUCAAAAAAGUUACCAUUUGUCAUCAGUUUACUUUCAAAUUUUGUUUUAUUUUCAAAGUCAUGGUCUAAUUAACACAAAUAAUGAGGAAAAACUUAAUUCAAAUAAAUAUUUUAUUUUUGGCACAUCUAUUUAUAGAUCCUAAAUAAAUGAGUAUGAUUUUUUAGCCAUUUUUAGAUGCUCAUUUCUCUCAAGACCAAGGCAGAAAAUAAAUUAAAUUAAUUGUUACUUUAAGAAUGAUCUAAGUUCUACUCUGUAUUAAAAUAUUGAGCUUGGGAAAUAAUAUCUACAUGAUGUAAAUUAACUUUGAAAUACCAUAUUUUGCUACAAUUUCACAUAUUUUAAAUAACAGACUUUUACUAUAUUUUUGGAUUAUUUCUAUGAUAUUUAAAUGAAAAAAAGAAGAUUCUUAAUCUAAUAUAUUUUUUAGAAGAGGAAUAACUGAUUUGAAUACUUCAUAUAACUUUCUUUUGCUUAUUUUAGCCCCUUGUUACCAAUUUGCUGGAGUUAAAUUGUUAUCUCCCCUCGUUGGAACUCUUUUGUAUUAUUGGGUAAAAAGUGACAGGUAUGUCAAUAUGGAGAGAAGUCAUUUAUGAGCAUUUUUUCUUCACCUAGGGAGUUGUUGUGGAGCAUAAUUGCACUAUGAAAGAGGAAAAAAUUAUUUUAAAAUAUUUGAAUGUAAGAAAGAAACAACAACUUAGCUUGAAUAAACAAAUAACAGGCCCAGAGGAAGCAAUUUCAGUGUGGGGGAGGGGGGACAACCUACAUUAUCAACUACCAAGAAUUCCAUAGAAAGUAAAAAAAAAUAAAAGUUCAUCAUAUGUU